GGUCCCGGGCCGCCACGCCCCUGGGCUGGGCUCUGGCCCUCCUCCCCCCUCGCAAAGCUGCGCUGGCCGCCCGCGGAGGGGAGGCUGCAGAGCGAGGGCAGGAGGUGGGUGCGGCGCGGCGCGAGCGGAGACUCGGGGCGCAGAGACAGCCGGACUACUUUC
rnacentral:lncRNA from 1 species